AAUUGACGGGGACCCGCACAAGCGGUGGAUGAUGUGGAUUAAUUCGAUGCAACGCGAAAACCUUACCUACCCUUGACAUGUCCGGAAUCCCGAAGAGAUUUGGGAGUGCUCGCAAGAGAACCGGAACACAGGUGCUGCAUGGCUGUCGUCAGCUCGUGUCGUGAGAUGUUGGGUUAAGUCCCGCAACGAGCGCAACCCUUGUCAUUAGUUGCCAUCAUUUGGUUGGGCACUCUAAUGAGACUGCCGGUGACAAACCGGGGAAGGUGGGGAUGACGUCAAGUCCUCAUGGCCCUUAUGGGUAGGGCUUCACACGUCAUACAAUGGUCGGUACAGGGGGUUGCCAAGCCGCGAGGCGGAGCCAAUCCCACAAAGCCGAUCGUAGUCCGGAUUGUUCUCUGCAACUCGAGAGCAUGAAGUCGGAAUCGCUAGUAAUCGCAGGUCAGCAUACUGCGGUGAAUACGUUCCCGGGUCUU
rnacentral:rRNA from 1 species